AUUGAACGCUGGCGGCAGGCUUAACACAUGCAAGUCGAGCGGGGUGAUGGUGCUUGCACUAUCACUUAGCGGCGGACGGGUGAGUAAUGCUUAGGAAUCUGCCUAUUAGUGGGGGACAACAUCUCGAAAGGGAUGCUAAUACCGCAUACGUCCUACGGGAGAAAGCAGGGGAUCACUUGUGACCUUGCGCUAAUAGAUGAGCCUAAGUCGGAUUAGCUAGUUGGUGGGGUAAAGGCCUACCAAGGCGACGAUCUGUAGCGGGUCUGAGAGGAUGAUCCGCCACACUGGGACUGAGACACGGCCCAGACUCCUACGGGAGGCAGCAGUGGGGAAGAUUGGACAAAGGGGGGAACCCUGAUCCAGCCAUGCCGCGUGUGUGAAGAAGGCCUUAUGGUUGUAAAGCACUUUAAGCGAGGAGGAGGCUCUUUUGGUUAAUACCCAGAAUGAGUGGACGUUACUCGCAGAGUAAGCACCGGCUAACUCUGUGCCAGCCGCCGCAGUAA
rnacentral:rRNA from 1 species